rnacentral:rRNA from 1 species
AUUGAACGCUGGCGGCAUGCUUUACACAUGCAAGUCGAACGGUAACAGGUUAAGCUGACGAGUGGCGAACGGGUGAGUAAUGCAUCGGAACGUGCCCGAUCGUGGGGGAUAACGCAGCGAAAGCUGCGCUAAUACCGCAUACGAUCUGAGGAUGAAAGCGGGGGACCGUAAGGCCUCGCGCGAUCGGAGCGGCCGAUGUCAGAUUAGGUAGUUGGUGGGGUAAAGGCUCACCAAGCCAACGAUCUGUAGCUGGUCUGAGAGGACGACCAGCCACACUGGGACUAAGACACGGCCCAGACUCCUACGGGAGGCAGCAGUGGGGAAUUUUGGACAAUGGGCGAAAGCCUGAUCCAGCAAUGCCGCGUGCAGGAAGAAGGCCUUCGGGUUGUAAACUGCUUUUGUACGGAGCGAAAAGGCUCUCUCUAAUACAGGGGGCUCAUGACGGUACCGUAAGAAUAAGCACCGGCUAACUACGUGCCAGCAGCCGCCGUAAUAC